CUGGGAAAGACAGUGAUGCUGUGGUUCCAAGCACAUAUCUGAAUUGUGUGUGUGUGGAUGGCACUGAAACUGAGUCUUUUCUGU
ensembl:snoRNA small nucleolar RNA, C/D box 121B